CGUUAUAACCGGCGAUUUCCGAAUGGGGAAACCCAGUGUGAUUCGUCACACUAUCAUUACGUGAAUACAUAGCGUAAUGAAGCGAACCGGGGGAACUGAAACAUCUAAGUACCCCGAGGAAAAGAAAUCAACCGAGAUUCCCCCAGUAGCGGCGAGCGAACGGGGAGCAGCCCAGAGUCUGAAUCAGCUUGUGUGUUAGUGGAACGGUCUGGAAAGUCCGACGGUACAGGGUGAUAGUCCCGUACACCAAAAUGCACAGGUUGUGAACUCGAAGAGUAGGGCGGGACACGUGGUAUCCUGUCUGAAUAUGGGGGGACCAUCCUCCAAGGCUAAAUACUCCUGACUGACCGAUAGUGAACCAGUACCGUGAGGGAAAGGCGAAAAGAACCCCGGCGAGGGGAGUGAAAAAGAACCUGAAACCGUGUACGUACAAGCAGUGGGAGCCUCUUUAUGGGGUGACUGCGUACCUUUUGUAUAAUGGGUCAGCGACUUAUAUUCUGUAGCAAGGUUAACCGUAUAGGGGAGCCGAAGGGAAACCGAGUCUUAACUGGGCGUUAAGUUGCAGGGUAUAGACCCGAAACCCGGUGAUCUAGCCAUGGGCAGGUUGAAGGUUGGGUAACACUAACUGGAGGACCGAACCGACUAAUGUUGAAAAAUUAGCGGAUGACUUGUGGCUGGGGGUGAAAGGCCAAUCAAACCGGGAGAUAGCUGGUUCUCCCCGAAAGCUAUUUAGGUAGCGCCUCGUGAACUCAUCUUCGGGGGUAGAGCACUGUUUCGGCUAGGGGGUCAUCCCGACUUACCAACCCGAUGCAAACUGCGAAUACCGAAGAAUGUUAUCACGGGAGACACACGGCGGGUGCUAACGUCCGUCGUGAAGAGGGAAACAACCCAGACCGCCAGCUAAGGUCCCAAAGUCAUGGUUAAGUGGGAAACGAUGUGGGAAGGCACAGACAGCCAGGAUGUUGGCUUAGAAGCAGCCAUCAUUUAAAGAAAGCGUAAUAGCUCACUGGUCGAGUCGGCCUGCGCGGAAGAUGUAACGGGGCUAAACCAUGCACCGAAGCUGCGGCAGCGACACUAUGUGUUGUUGGGUAGGGGAGCGUUCUGUAAGCCGUUGAAGGUGUGCUGUGAGGCAUGCUGGAGGUAUCAGAAGUGCGAAUGCUGACAUAAGUAACGAUAAUGCGGGUGAAAAACCCGCACGCCGGAAGACCAAGGGUUCCUGUCCAACGUUAAUCGGGGCAGGGUGAGUCGACCCCUAAGGCGAGGCCGAAAGGCGUAGUCGAUGGGAAACAGGUUAAUAUUCCUGUACUUGGUGUUACUGCGAAGGGGGGACGGAGAAGGCUAUGUUAGCCGGGCGACGGUUGUCCCGGUUUAAGCAUGUAGGCGGAGGUUCCAGGUAAAUCCGGUACCUUUUUAACGCUGAGGUGUGAUGACGAGGCACUACGGUGCUGAAGUAACAAAUGCCCUGCUUCCAGGAAAAGCCUCUAAGCAUCAGGUAACACGAAAUCGUACCCCAAACCGACACAGGUGGUCAGGUAGAGAAUACCAAGGCGCUUGAGAGAACUCGGGUGAAGGAACUAGGCAAAAUGGUGCCGUAACUUCGGGAGAAGGCACGCUGAUAUGUAGGUGAAGUGAUUUACUCAUGGAGCUGAAAUCAGUCGAAGAUACCAGCUGGCUGCAACUGUUUAUUAAAAACACAGCACUGUGCAAACACGAAAGUGGACGUAUACGGUGUGACGCCUGCCCGGUGCCGGAAGGUUAAUUGAUGGGGUUAUCCGUAAGGAGAAGCUCUUGAUCGAAGCCCCGGUAAACGGCGGCCGUAACUAUAACGGUCCUAAGGUAGCGAAAUUCCUUGUCGGGUAAGUUCCGACCUGCACGAAUGGCGUAAUGAUGGCCAGGCUGUCUCCACCCGAGACUCAGUGAAAUUGAACUCGCUGUGAAGAUGCAGUGUACCCGCGGCAAGACGGAAAGACCCCGUGAACCUUUACUAUAGCUUGACACUGAACA
rnacentral:rRNA from 1 species